UAAUAAGUGUUUUAUGGCACUUUUUAAAUCCAUAUCCACCUUGUGUGCAAUGUCAGUCGAUCUUCUUUCAUGAGGAUCGACCAAACAUCAACCUUUAUCUUUUAACUCUUUGUCUGAAAAAUAUAUUAUGAAUAAACAAUUCAAAAUA
rnacentral:misc_RNA from 1 species